rnacentral:rRNA from 1 species
GACGACCUCUGGCGGCGUGCUUAACACAUGCAAGUCGAACGGAAAGGCCCUGCUUUUGUGGGGUGCUCGAGUGGCGAACGGGUGAGUAACACGUGAGUAACCUGCCCUUGACUUUGGGAUAACUUCAGGAAACUGGGGCUAAUACCGGAUAGGAGCUCCUGCUGCAUGGUGGGGGUUGGAAAGUUUCGGCGGUUGGGGAUGGACUCGCGGCUUAUCAGCUUGUUGGUGGGGUAGUGGCUUACCAAGGCUUUGACGGGUAGCCGGCCUGAGAGGGUGACCGGCCACAUUGGGACUGAGAUACGGCCCAGACUCCUACGGGAGGCAGCAGUGGGGAAUAUUGCACAAUGGGCGGAAGCCUGAUGCAGCAACGCCGCGUGCGGGAUGACGGCCUUCGGGUUGUAAACCGCUUUCGCCUGUGACGAAGCGUGAGUGACGGUAAUGGGUAAAGAAGCACCGGCUAACUACGUGCCAGCAGCCGCGGUGAUACGUAGGGUGCGAGCGUUGUCCGGAUUUAUUGGGCGUAAAGGGCUCGUAGGUGGUUGAUCGCGUCGGAAGUGUAAUCUUGGGGCUUAACCCUGAGCGUGCUUUCGAUACGGGUUGACUUGAGGAAGGUAGGGGAGAAUGGAAUUCCUGGUGGAGCGGUGGAAUGCGCAGAUAUCAGGAGGAACACCAGUGGCGAAGGCGGUUCUCUGGGCCUUUCCUGACGCUGAGGAGCGAAAGCGUGGGGAGCGAACAGGCUUAGAUACCCUGGUAGUCCACGCUGUAAACGGUGGGUACUAGGUGUGGGGUCCAUUCCACGGGUUCCGUGCCGUAGCUAACGCUUUAAGUACCCCGCCUGGGGAGUACGGCCGCAAGGCUAAAACUCAAAGGAAUUGACGGGGCCCCGCACAAGCGGCGGAGCAUGCGGAUUAAUUCGAUGCAACGCGUAGAACCUUACCUGGGUUUGACAUGGAUCGGGAGUGCUCAGAGAUGGGUGUGCCUCUUUUGGGGUCGGUUCACAGGUGGUGCAUGCCUGUCGUCAGCUCGUGUCGUGAGAUGUUGGGUUAAGUCCCGCAACGAGCGCAACCCUUGUUCACUGUUGCCAGCACGUUAUGGUGGGGACUCAGUGGAGACCGCCGGGGUCAACUCGGAGGAAGGUGGGGAUGACGUCAAGUCCUCAUGCCCCCUAUGUCCAGGGCUUCACGCAUGCUACAAUGGCUGGUACAGAGAGUGGCGAGCCUGUGAGGGUGAGCGAAUCUCGGAAAGCCGGUCUCAGUUCGGAUUGGGGUCUGCAACUCGACCUCAUGAAGUCGGAGUCGCUAGUAAUCGCAGAAGAGCAACGCUGCGGUGAGUACGUUCCCGGGGCU